rnacentral:rRNA from 1 species
CAGCAGCCACGGUAAUACGAAGGGUGCAAGCGUUAAUCGGAAUUACUGGGCGUAAAGCGUGCGUAGGCGGUUUGUUAAGUCUGUUGUGAAAUCCCCGGGCUCAACCUGGGAAUGGCAAUGGAUACUGGCAAGCUAGAGUGUGUCAGAGGAUGGUGGAAUUCCCGGUGUAGCGGUGAAAUGCGUAGAGAUCGGGAGGAACAUCAGUGGCGAAGGCGGCCAUCUGGGACAACACUGACGCUGAGGCACGAAAGCGUGGGGAGCAAACAGGAUUAGAUACCCCAGUAGUCCCUGUCUCUUAUAC